rnacentral:tRNA from 1 species
UGGCUCAGUCGGUGGAGCAUGUGACUCUUGAUUUUGGGGUUGUGGGUUCGAGUCCCAC